rnacentral:lncRNA from 1 species
AUUUAAUAUUUCAACUAAGCCAUAUAAGGGGAGAUAGCUAUCAUAGUAAAAUUUUUGUGAAUGAUAUACCUUUCCACAUGUAACAAGAAAACAAGUUUGAGUACACCUUUUUUAUAUGACUGCAAAAAAAUUGAGUCAGAUAAUGCUAUCAUGUCGUCCUCGUCUGAAGACACAUUUAGUUUCCGAACAAUAACUUUAGUUUUAGUUGGGGUGGUUAGUAUUGACUUGGAGGGGGCUCAAUUUUUUUUGGAAUUAGGGGCAAAGAAAGGGGGAUAACUAGGUUUUUCUGGUCAAUGGACAAUUAAGACAAUUUAACAGCAG